UGCAACCCGAAAGCCAAGCACUCCUGCUCUGUCGUUGGAUGCACGGACACUCAUGUUUUUCCCUACAUCGCCUCCCUACCAAAGAGGAUAUCAGAGCGAAGUGGCUAAAUUUUAUUUUUCAGGGAAACGUCCCAACUUCACUGAGCAAAAGCGUUGUUGUCUGUGCCAAUCACUUCACACCAGACUGUUUCAGCAACCAGGGUCAGUAUCAGGCUGGACUGGCAACGAGAUUGUUCCUCAAAGAUGGAUUAAUACCCACUGUCCGUGUCAACGCCACAGAAGAAGAAACUCCAAGCACAUCUGUACAGCAGUCUGUAGUGCAUCAUGUUGCCUGCCAGACAGACCAACCAGUGAAAUGCACGGUUGGCACACAGCUUUCCAUGAGAACUCUCCGACCUAUGAUGCAUAUGAUGUAAUACUCUACCUGGCUGCCCUGCAUCACAAUGAAAAUACUGACUGACCACAGGCAACAUCUACAGGUGGAGAGCUGCUGUACAGUCAACUUCCCCAAAUCUAAGCAUGGAGAGUGAACUGCAAAGCCUGUGUGCAGAGCCAACAUCCUAUUACGCUGAUGCACUGUUGGACCUGAUCUUCGAGAAGGUUUUCCAGGACCCUGUCCCAUAUGUGAACGAGGUGCUGAAACUUACAAUCCCUGAAGACCUCUCGGCUCAGUAUGAAAGACCC